rnacentral:rRNA from 1 species
UACAGAGGUCCCAAGCGUUGUCCGGAAUUAUUGGGCGUAAAGAGCUCGUAGGCGGUGUGUCGCGUCGGCCGUGAAAACCUGCAGCUUAACUGUGGGCUUGCGGUCGAUACGGGCAUCACUGGAGUUCGGCAGGGGAGACUGGAAUUCCUGGUGUAGCGGUGAAAUGCGCAGAUAUCAGGAGGAACACCGGUGGCGAAGGCGGGUCUCUGGCCCGGUUCUGACGCUGAGGCGCGAAAGCGUGGGGAGCAAACAGG